AGGAUUCCCUCAGUAACGGCGAGCGAAGCGGGAACAGCUCAAAUUUGAAAUCUCCGGUGCCUGCACCGGCGAAUUGUAGUCUGUAGGGCCAGUUUCGCCCGAGACGGUGUCCCCAAAGUCGUCCUGGAAAGGCGGGCCAAAGAGGGUGAGAGCCCCGUGCGUGGGGGCGCCGUCGGAGGUAAGAUCUGUGCCCGAAGAGUCGGGUUGUUUGGGAUUGCAGCCCAAAAUGGGUGGUAAACUCCAUCUAAAGCUAAAUACUGGCACGAGACCGAUAGCGAACAAGUACCGUGAGGGAAAGAUGAAAAGCACUUUGAAAAGAGAGUCAAACAGUACGUGAAACCGUCAGUAGGGAAACGAACGAGGUUGGUGCAGUGAUCGCGCAGGUUCAAGCCCUGCCGAAGGUGCCGAUGCGGUGACGGAGAUCGUCCUGCGUCGUCGACCGGAGGCAGUGCCGUACUCCUCGUGAUUGCGUACCAGCAGCGGUUGGACCGGGGCCACAAGGCAGUAGCGGAAGGUGAGUCGAUGGGAGCCAGUCUUGCAUUGACAGCUUAUAGCCCUGCUGUACGGUGCUCCGGUGUGACCGAGGAAGCUGGGCAGCCCUUGCCCAUUGUGGUGCACGCUGUACGGCGGGGCCUCCCGACACGAUUGAACCGUGCGGUGUGGACUGCAUGCAGUGCUCACCGUUGCUGUGAUCUCGUGUCGGUGAGUGCCACUAGUGUGCCAGUGCUGCUGGUGUUCGGAUGGCCUCGUCCGACCCGUCUUGAAACACGGACCAAGGAGUGCAACAUGUGCGCGAGCCCUUUGGCGAGUAAACCAGAAGGCGCAAUGAAAGUGAAGGCACGGUCGCCGUGCUGAGGUGAGAGCUGUCCCACGGCAGCGCAUCAUCGACCGAUCCCGUUGCGCCCCGUGGUGCAAAGGGAUUCGAGUAAGAGUGUACCUGUUGCGACCCGAAAGAUGGUGAACUAUGCCUGAAUAGGGUGAAGCCAGAGGAAACUCUGGUGGAGGCCCGUAGCGAUUCUGACGUGCAAAUCGAUCGUCAAAUUUGGGUAUAGGGGCGAAAGA
rnacentral:rRNA from 1 species